rnacentral:rRNA from 1 species
ACAUCCAGAGAAUUUAGCAGAGAUGCUUUAGUGCCUUCGGGAACUCUGAGACAGGUGCUGCAUGGCUGUCGUCAGCUCGUGUUGUGAAAUUGUUGGGUUAAGUCCCGNAACGAGCGCAACCCCUAUCCUUUGUUGCCAGCGAUUCGGUCGGGAACUCAAAGGAGACUGCCGGUGAUAAACCGGAGGAAGGUGGGGAUGACGUAACAAGUCAUCAUGGCCCUUACGAGUAGGGCUACACACGUGCUACAAUGGCGCAUACAAAGAGAAGCGACCUCGCGAGAGCAAGCGGACCUCAUAAAGCGCGUCGUAGUCCGGAUUGGAGUCUGCAACUCGACUCCAUGAAGUCGGAAUCGCUAGUAAUCGUAGAUCAGAAUGCUACGGUGAAUACGUUCCCGGGCCUUGUACACACCGCCCGUCACACCAUGGGAGUGGGUUGCAAAAGAAGUAGAUAGCUUAACCUUCGGGAGGGCGUUUACCACUUUGUGAUUCAUGACUGGGGUGAAGUCGUAACAAGGUAAGCGUACGUGU